GGUGGAACACCAGAGGACCACUUUUGUUAAACAGUUAAAACUAGGGAAGGUGAGCCCACACCACACACCCUGUUGGCUUUGUUUUGAGGACUCCGUGUGUCCUGCCCCUGAAACAACUCGGUUCUCCCGGUUUCUCUUCCACCUGCAGCUCCCUCAGUGUCUGUGCAUCCACCUACAGCGGCUGAGCUGGUCCAGCCACGGCACGCCUCUGAAGCGGCACGAGCACGUGCAGUUCAAUGAGUUCCUGAUGAUGGACAUUUACAAGUACCACCUCCUUGGACAUAAACCUAGUCAACACAACCCUAAACUGAACAAGAACCCAGGGCCUACACUGGAGCUGCAGGACGGGCCGGGAGCCCCCACACCAGUUCUGAAUCAGCCAGGGACCCCCAAAACACAGAUUUUUAUGAAUGGCACCUGCUCCCCAUCUUUAUUGCCAACGCUGUCAGCACCAAUGCCCUUCCCUCUCCCAGUUGUUCCCGACUACAGCUCCUCCACAUACCUCUUCCGGCUGAUGGCAGUUGUCGUCCACCAUGGAGACAUGCACUCUGGACACUUUGUCACUUACCGACGGUCCCCACCUUCUGCCAGGAACCCUCUCUCAACCAGCAAUCAGUGGCUGUGGGUCUCCGAUGACACCGUUCGCAAGGCCAGCCUGCAGGAGGUCCUGUCCUCCAGCGCCUACCUGCUGUUCUACGAGCGCGUCCUUUCCAGGAUGCACCAGAGCCAGGAGUGCAAGUCU
rnacentral:sRNA from 1 species